CCUACGGGCGGCAGCAGUGAGGAAUAUUGGUCAAUGGCCGUAAGGCUGAACCAGCCAAGUAGCGUGAGGGAAGACUGCCCUAUGGGUUGUAAACCUCUUUUAUGCGGGGAUAAAGGUGUCCACGUGUGGAUGUUUGCAGGUACCGCAUGAAUAAGGACCGGCUAAUUCCGUGCCAGCAGCCGCGGUAAUACGGAAGGUCCGGGCGUUAUCCGGAUUUAUUGGGUUUAAAGGGAGCGUAGGGCGGUCGUUAAGCGUGGCGGGAAAUUUUGUGGCUCACCCCGGGGAGUGCGGCGCGAACUGGAGGCCUGGAGGGGGCGGAAGGCAGGCGGAGUGCGGGGGGUAGCGGUGAAAUGCUUAG
rnacentral:rRNA from 1 species